rnacentral:tRNA from 1 species
GUAGAGAUGGCUCAGCGGUUAAGAGCACUGGUUGCUCUUCCAGAGGACCUAGGUUGAAUUCCUAGCACCCACA